UACGAAGGGAGCUAGCGUUGUUCGGAAUUACUGGGCGUAAAGGGCGCGUAGGCGGUCUUAUAAGUUUGGUGUGAAAGCCCUGGGCUUAACCUAGGAAUAGCAUUGGAUACUGUAAGACUUGAGACCGAGAGAGGAAAAUGGAAUUGCGAGUGUAGAGGUGAAAUUCGUAGAUAUUUGCAAGAACACCAGUGGCGAAGGCGAUUUUCUGGCUCGGUACUGACGCUAAGGCGCGAAAGCGUGGGGAGCAAACAGG
rnacentral:rRNA from 1 species